AGACAUCAGAAAUGUGGUUUUGAAUCACAAGAAGAAAUCAAGACUAAUAGUGGAAAAGCCUGAAAUGUCUUGCAUAGAGCUGGACUGUUUGCAGCUCAGGAUGUUUGCCAUCACAACGGCAGAGCCGCAGUUCACACCCAGGCACGUUCUCCCCAAGACCUGUGGCUGCAACCACUGCUAUGCAUGGAAUGUGAGACGGACGGUGCUCGCCUAGCCAACAGUUGAUGCUGAAUACAUCUUCAUCUGUGUAUUGACCAUCUACCCUUUUCCCAUGAUUUGUUUGUCAAAAUUCCUUGCUAAUUUCCUUAUUAAAAAUGGUCAGUAUUUUAA